rnacentral:tRNA from 1 species
GCACGGGGAAAACCUAUUCCCCUGCCCUCCGAAGGCAAAGGUCACACGUUCGAAUCGUGUCGGGUGCGCCA